rnacentral:rRNA from 1 species
UACGUAGGGUGCGAGCGUUAAUCGGAAUUACUGGGCGUAAAGCGUGCGCAGGCGGUUAUGUAAGACAGAUGUGAAAUGCCCGGGCUUAACCUGGGAACUGCAUUUGUGACUGCAUGGCUAGAGUGUGUCAGAGGGGGGUAGAAUUCCACGUGUAGCAGUGAAAUGCGUAGAUAUGUGGAGGAAUACCGAUGGCGAAGGCAGCCCCCUGGGAUAACACUGACGCUCAUGCACGAAAGCGUGGGGGAGCAAACAGG